GGGCGGGUGCAGGAACGGCAGGCCGGGCAGGCCUCCGGCGUCCGUGAGGUUCGGUUCGGCACCGACCUGCCAC
rnacentral:tRNA from 1 species